rnacentral:rRNA from 1 species
AUUGAACGCUGGAGGCAGGCCUAACACAUGCAAGUCGAGCGAGCGGCAGACGGGUGAGUAAUGUAAGGGGAUCUUACAGAUAAAGGGAGAUAACUACUGGAAAGGGUGGCUAAAAACUCAUACUAUCGGCAGAACCCAUAUGGGAUUAGCGAGUAUGUGGGGUAAAGUCUCACCUAGGCGACUAUCUCUAGCUGGUCUGAGAGGAUGAUCAGCCACACUGGUCCUGAGACACGGCCCAGACUCCUACGGUAGGUAGCAUGGGUGAAUAUUUCACAAGGGGCGCAAUCCUGAUGCAGCCAUGCCGCGUGUAUGAAGAAGGCCUUAGGGUGGUAAAGUACUUUCAGCGGGGAGGCGUUACCCGCAGAAGAAGCACCGGCUAACUCCGUGCCAGCAGCCGCGGUAAUUC